rnacentral:lncRNA from 1 species
GACCAAGAACCCACCAAUUCCGGACCCACUGGCAUUACAGGCGUGAAUCACUGUGUCUGGCCAAAAAGGAUCUAAUCUUAUAGCAGUGGAAUGAGGGGGAAGCCCAGCAAGGCCCAUCUGUUUGGAGUCUUCCUGGACUUCUGGGGCCUGACCCUUUUGGAACGGGGGUUUUAAGAUUCAUAAUCGACAAAUGGGUUCUUGAUAUGUUGCCCAGGCUGAGAGUUUCGUUAUGGCCAGCUGUGACACAGAAAGGUUGUUCCUACUUUGGCCAUUGGAGCUCUUUCCAGUUAGCUUCUCUUCCUUGGACAGCUUCCAUACGUUUUUGAGCACUUCCUUAUUUCUGACACCAGAAGAUGACUCAGGCUUGACUUGUAUUCUCCCCGUCCAACAAUGGAAUCUGCCAUUUCUCCAAGGAGCCCUGAUUCCUUUUAUUUGAGCGUGGUACAUAGAAGCUGAGCAACUUUUUCUCUCUUUCUAAUAAAUGCUAAUUCAGGAAA